rnacentral:lncRNA from 1 species
GAAUAAACCAAACUUUUGAGUUAAUAUUUUCUCAUUAUAAUCACGAUUUCAUUAUAUUUGUGCUUGUUAUAAAUUUUACUGUAUAAGUCUGAAAAUAUUUUUUGUUUAUUUAGUAGGAUUACAGAAACAUUGAGAAAUUCAAAUUAUUCAGUGGGAAAUGUGGGAAUUAUAUGUGAAUUUUUUUUAAUUGCUUGUCACUGACUAUCCUGUAUUAGUUUUGGAAUGGUUAACAUCUUAAAUAUGACAUUCGUAUGUUUUAAUGGGGAUAUGUAGUAAAAUUGAUUGCACAGGCUGUCCCUGACUUAUGUGGGUAGAUUGUUCCACAAAACUCUAUGAUGAUCAGAUCUAUAUAUUCAGAGCAAAUUAUUGUAAUAGACAUUCUGCCACUUAUAUAAAGAUAAAAAAUGGCACGGUACUAGGCAGAAAAAUCUUUUAUUACAGAAAAGAAACAUUUUCAACCAAUGGGCUACAUCCAUGUAGACCAGUGACAUCGGUCAAAAACAUUUUUGUAAUAAAAGAUUUUUUUUGCCUAGUGUUAAGCUGUUUUUUGUCAGAGCAUAUGUAAUAGAAUACUAAUGGGUCACAAAGACUUAACAUUAAAAAUAUGCAUUUAUUUUUUAAUAUAAUUAAGUCACAAGUAAAGCAGUUACUUACCAUCUUGGAGGAUUCAGAUUUAGUUUCAAAUCCCACACCUUCAAUUUUUCAGGUGUAGUCUGAGUUCAGGCCUAGCUUUUUAACUAAAAUUAAUCUAUGUAUGUAUGGAUCUACAUAUGUCAGGGAUUGGUUAUAUAUUAUAGCAAUAUGUUAAGCAGGUUGUUCUUGUUUAAAGACAGAAAAUAUCGAGAGAAUAAUACAGAUAAAAUGCUUGCUUUCAAAAGGAACAAUACUCUAAUAAUGCAC